rnacentral:rRNA from 1 species
UACGUAGGGGGCAAGCGUUGUCCGGAAUUACUGGGUGUAAAGGGUGUGCAGGCGUCUCCCUAAGUUGAUUGUGAAAGCCCGAAGCUCAACUUCGGAACGGCAGUCAAUACUGGGGGGAUGGAGGUUAUGGGAGGGAAGUGGAAUUCUCGGUGUAGCGGUGAAAUGCGUAGAUAUCGAGAGGAACACCGGUGGCGAAGGCGGCUUCCUAUCAUAGACCUGACGCUCAUACACGAAAGCUAGGGGAGCAAACAGGAUUAGAUACCCUGGUAGUCCUAGCCCUAAACGAUGAAUACUAGGUGUUGGAGGAUCAAAUCCUUCAGUGUCGUAGCUAACGCGUUAAGUAUUCCACCUGGAAAGUACGGUCGCAAGGCUGAA